rnacentral:tRNA from 1 species
AAAAUCCGUUGGCUUUAUUGACCCGUGAGGGUUCAAGUCCCUCUACCCCCA